AACCUUGGGGUGCAACAGUAGCACAUCUGACUCCAGAUUUGAAGGUUGCGUGUUCAAGUCAUGUCAGGGUUG
rnacentral:tRNA from 1 species